rnacentral:rRNA from 1 species
UACGUAGGGUGCGAGCGUUAAUCGGAAUUACUGGGCGUAAAGCGUGCGCAGGCGGUUUUGUAAGCCAGAUGUGAAAGCCCCGGGCUUAACCUGGGAAUGGCAUUUGGGACUGCAAGGCUGGAGUGCGGCAGAGGAGACUGGAAUUCCCGGUGUAGAGGUGAAAUUCGUAGAUAUCGGGAGGAACACCGGUGGCGAAGGCGGCGACCUGGGUCGAUACUGACGCUGAGGCGCGAAAGCGUGGGGAGCAAACAGG